CGCUCUGGGAGAGUUUAUAGUCCUGAGAGUUGAACACUGGAUGACUGACAGCUGUCCUUCAUGACAACAGAAGACACAGAAAUCCUCCUCAUCAAAAACAUGACUUUGAUCUGCGUCCUCAUCUGGACUCUCCUCUGCUGCUGCUUCACAGAGUCCAGAGGUCAGAUCACAGUGAUUCAGCCUGCAGCAGUGAGAGCUGAUCUGGGAGGAUCUGUUACCAUCAGCUGCAGGACCAGUCAGAAUGUUUACAACAACAACCAUUUAGCCUGGUACCAACAGAAAGAAGGAGAAACUCGCAAGCUGCUCUUUUACUACAUUGGCAGUCGAGUCUCAGGCACUUCAAGUCGUUUUACAAGCAGCGGAUCAAACUCUGACUUCACUCUGACCAUCAGUGGAGUUCAGGUUGAAGAUGCUGCAGUUUACUGCUGUCAGAGUGCUCAUCACAUCAACAACCAGUGGGUGUUCACACAGUGA